UACGGAGGGUGCAAGCGUUAUCCGGAUUCACUGGGUUUAAAGGGUGCGUAGGUGGGCUGGUAAGUCAGUGGUGAAAUCUCCAGGCUUAACUUGGAAACUGCCAUUGAUACUAUUAGUCUUGAAUACCGUGGAGGUCAGCGGAAUAUGUCAUGUAACGGUGAAAUGCUUAGAUAUGACAUAGAACACCAAUUGCGAAGGCAGCUGGCUACACGAAUAUUGACACUGAUGCACGAAAGCGUGGGGAUCAAACAGG
rnacentral:rRNA from 1 species